GCCUGUGCUGCCUGUCCCCUGUUUACAUCAGAGCAUGAUCUGUGACUCAGCUCUGGAAAAUCUACUUUCAGAGAAAAACUGAGAGAGCUUUAGCAGCAAAUUCCUCACAAAUGAAAAAGUUUUGUAUUUCAAGUAGCCCAGUUCUACACAGCCAGGGAAAAAGAUCUUGAAGAUAUAUGACAUGAUACUGCCUUAUUUAAUCUUAGAAAGGCUUCCAGGGAAACCUCAAGUAAACAGCAGGCUGAAGAUGUUCAUGAAAGUACUGCGAUAUUGAAAGAGAAUACUGUUGAGAAUUUACAACGUUGUAUUUGAAACAUGUACUUUUGAAAAGAGAGGACAAAAAAAGAAAAAAAAACAAUACCAAAAAUAGAGAUAAAGGAAACUGCCCAGAAGCCAGAAGUACAAUUUGAAAUUUUUGACAGUAGUGAAGAGUCACCCUGUCCCAGCCAGUGUUGUGGAUGAAUCAGAGCCCCACCCCAGACUGCUUGUGCUAAGUCCCCUGCUACUGAAUCAGUCUUGCUUCUGGCAAAAUUGAAGGCAGGGAAGGCAGAUGUGUGCAUGUCUGGCUCUGAGCCCAUCGCCUGUCACAGGCACGCAGAAGGAUGCCAAAGUCUGUCUGUGGGAGAUACACCUUCUCUUCACGAAAUGUAAAACUCUGAAGUUGUGUAAAAGUUGGAUUUUGGAGAGAACAAAUAAAGGAAUGCCUAGGCAUUUGGGAAUCAAGACGUUUCAACAUUUCUGAAGAUUUUAUACUCUGC